UUGCAGGCUGCAACUCGCCUGCAUGAAGUCGGAAUUGCUAGUAAUCGCAGAUCAGCAUGCUGCGGUGAAUACGUUCCCGGGCCUUGUACACACCGCCCGUCACACCAUGGGAGUCGGUAACACCCGAAGUCGGUAGCCUAACCGUAAGGAGGGCGCCGCCGAAGGUGGGAUUGAUGACUGGGGUGAAGUCGUAACAAGGUAUC
rnacentral:rRNA from 1 species